rnacentral:rRNA from 1 species
CCUACGGGGGCUGCAGUAAGGAAUAUUGGUCAAUGGAGGAAACUCUGAACCAGCCAUCCCGCGUGAAGGAUGAAGGGGCUCUGCCUUGUAAACUUCUUUUGUCUGGGGCGAAAAAGCUCGAUUUAUCGAGAACUGACGGUACCAGAAGAAUAAGCACCGGCUAACUCCGUGCCAGCAGCCGCGGUAAUACGGAGGGUGCACGCGUGAACUGGGAUCAAUGGGGGUGAAGGGUGCUUAGGAGGUCAGUGGUGAAAGGCUGUGGCUUAACCAUGGAAUUGCCAUUGAUACUGCAGAGCUUGAAUGAGGUUGAGGUUGGCGGAAUGUGACAUGUAGCGGUGAAAUGCUUAGAUAUGUCAUGGAACACCGAUUGCGAAGGCAGCUGACUGGACCUAUAUUGACGCUGAGGCACGAAAGCGUGGGGAGCGAACAGGAUUAGAUACCCCGGUAGUC